ACCCGCUGAACUUAAGCAUAUCAAUAAGCGGAGGAAAAGAAACCAACAGGGAUUGCCCUAGUAACGGCGAGUGAAGCGGCAACAGCUCAAAUUUGAAAUCUGGCCCUUUCAGGGUCCGAGUUGUAAUUUGCAGAGGGCGCUUUGGCAUUGGCAGCGGUCCAAGUUCCUUGGAACAGGACGUCACAGAGGGUGAGAAUCCCGUACGUGGUCGCUAGCCUUUACCGUGUAAAGCCCCUUCGACGAGUCGAGUUGUUUGGGAAUGCAGCUCUAAAUGGGAGGUAAAUUUCUUCUAAAGCUAAAUACUGGCCAGAGACCGAUAGCGCACAAGUAGAGUGAUCGAAAGAUGAAAAGCACUUUGGAAAGAGAGUUAAAAAGCACGUGAAAUUGUUGAAAGGGAAGCGCUUGCAGCCAGACUUGCCUGUAGUUGCUCAUCCGGGUUUUUACCCGGUGCACUCUUCUAUAGGCAGGCCAGCAUCAGUUUGGGCGGUUGGAUAAAGGUCUCUGUCAUGUACCUCUCUUCGGGGAGAACUUAUAGGGGAGACGACAUGCAACCAGCCCGGACUGAGGUCCGCGCAUCUGCUAGGAUGCUGGCGUAAUGGCUGU
rnacentral:rRNA from 1 species